GUUAUAAUGCAGUCGAGCGGAGUCGAUAGGAGCUUGCUUCCUUGAGACUUAGCGGCGGACGGGUGAGUAACACGUAGGCAACCUGCCCUUUAGCCUGGGAUAACUACCGGAAACGGUAGCUAAUACCGGAUACUUUCUUUUUCUGCAUGGGAAAAGAACGAAAGACGGAGCAAUCUGUCACUGAAGGAUGGGCCUGCGGCGCAUUAGCUAGUUGGUGGGGUAACGGCUCACCAAGGCGACGAUGCGUAGCCGACCUGAGAGGGUGAUCGGCCACACUGGGACUGAGACACGGCCCAGACUCCUACGGGAGGCAGCAGUAGGGAAUCUUCCGCAAUGGGCGAAAGCCUGACGGAGCAACGCCGCGUGAGUGAUGAAGGUUUUCGGAUCGUAAAGCUCUGUUGCCAGGGAAGAACGUCUUGGAGAGUAACUGCUCUGAGAGUGACGGUACCUGAGAAGAAAGCCCCGGCUAACUACGUGCCAGCAGCCGCGGUAAUACGUAGGGGGCAAGCGUUGUCCGGAAUUAUUGGGCGUAAAGCGCGCGCAGGCGGCCUUUUAAGUCCGGUGUUUAAUCCCGAAGCUCAACUUCGGGUCGCACUGGAAACUGGAGGGCUUGAGUGCAGAAGAGGAGAGUGGAAUUCCACGUGUAGCGGUGAAAUGCGUAGAGAUGUGGAGGAACACCAGUGGCGAAGGCGACUCUCUGGGCUGUAACUGACGCUGAGUCGCAA
rnacentral:rRNA from 1 species